rnacentral:rRNA from 1 species
CCCCACUGCUAUCGGGAUAGGACUAAGACAUGCUAGUCGAGUGGCUCAGCCAAUACGAGCCACGGCAUACAGCUCAGUAACACGUGGCUAAUCUGCCCUUAGGACGAGAACAACCCCGGGAAACUGGGGCUAACUCUCGAUAGGCGAAGAACUCUGGAAUGAGUCUUCACCUAAAUAGUUCAGCGUUACGCUCGUUGAACCGCCUAAGGAUGAGGCCGCGACCGAUCAGGUUGUUGGUGAGGUAAUGGCUCACCAAGCCUUUUACCGGUGCGGGCCGUGAGAGCGGGAGCCCGGAGAUGGGCACUGAGACAAGGGCCCAGGCCCUACGGGGCGCAGCAGUCGCGAAAACUUUGCAAUACACGAAAGUGUGACAGGGCUAUCCCGAGUGCCAUCCGCUGAGGAAGGCUUUUACCCAGUCUAGAAAGCUGGGGGAAUAAGGAGAGGGCAAGUCUGGUGUCAGCCGCCGCGGUAAUACCAGCUCUCCGAGUGGUGUGGAUGUUUAUUGGGCCUAAAGCAUCCGUAGCUGGCUAAGUUAGUCCCCUUGUUAAAUCCACCGAAUUAAUCGUUGGAUUGCGGGGGAUACUGCUUAGCUAGGGGACGAGAGAGGCAGACGGUAUUUCCGGGGUAGGGGUGAAAUCCUAUAAUCCCGGGAAGACCACCAGUGGCGAAGGCUGUCUGNUAGAACGCGCCCGACGGUGAGGGAUGAAAGCUGGGGGAGCGAACNGGAUUAGAUACCCGGGUAGUACCCAGCUGAAACGAUNCAAANUAGGUGUUUGAACGGCCACGUGCCGUUCUAGUGCCGCAGGGAAGCUGUUAAGUUUGCCGCGUGGGGAGUCACGAUCGCAAGAUUGAAACUUAAAGGAUA